GGGAGGGCGGGCUGAGGUGGGCGGCCAGUCGACCUUUACCUUUCUUGGCUCGUCCUGUUGGGGCAUGCUUUUCCUGCUGGUCAGGAGGAGACGGGGGCUAAAAAACCUGACAAUUCUCCAUGGACUGAAGUUUUGACUUGGCAUGAGGGCUUCCUAUGGAAAAGAGGCUUGCUGAGUUUGAAGCUUGGAGCUUGAAGAGCAUGGCACCAACAUCUGUUCAGGACCUCCUUGCUGUUCACAAUAUGGCAUCAUGGCUAGCACAUGAAAGAAAUUGUUGGCCUGUAUUUAAUCAAAAAGAAGGGCUAAGAAGAACCUUCACAUGCAGUUCACAUCAACCCUGGGGCAACUGAAAGGUCAGGAUGACCUAUUAUGGCAGAGAAAAGGAAAAAAUUAAUGGGA